rnacentral:lncRNA from 1 species
UAAUGGCAUGUACCGUUUAACCAACUCUUGUUGAUGGGCAUUUUAGAUGUUUCCAAUCUUUUCCUCUUACAAACAUUUCUGUAACAAAUAUCUCUGGACAUAUAUCUUUGCACACUUGAGGGACUCUACCUGUAAAAUAAGUUCUUAAAAGUUUUAAAACCCAGCGUAGCAUCCUCAUACAUGUUCACAAAGCCAUAAGCUUGUCACUGCUAAUGUCAGAUCUCCAAAAGACCUCCUUCCAUAGAGUGGCUAUCUUACUGGACAACAUAGGUACAAUCAAUACCUUGAAAGGUAUCAUUAAUCUUUAUUGUGAAGAUAGGUGAUAACAUAGCAAAGUCCUUAACAAUUCUCUGAAACCCCAUAGUUACCUGAUAGAUGGUGGCUAUCAAUCAUAUUGCCUUUAUCCUUGCGAACAACCAGUCAAGAAUUUAUCCCCAAGACCUGAGGCUAAAUGUAACUAAAGUCAGUGGGUUGACACAAUAUUAGUACACUUUAGGUGGCGUUGUUUUCAGGAUACUCAGCCCUUUGUUUAAAAGGAAUGUCUGGUGGGACAGGAAAGUCCUUUUAAGGUAGUAAAGGAAAAAAUACAAAGCAUUAUGCCUCAAUAUUAGAAAUUUUCUCUGGCUAGUUCUCCAAGAAGCCUUGACAUUUUCAAUGGCAAAAAUCAAUCCAUCACUGGUAGGUGUUAAUCUGAACACUGGGAGAAAAGGAAUUGCCAAUUUAGAAAAAGCAGUGUUGGUUUCAAAUUUGGCAAGUCAUGAAACAGGAUUUGAAGGAACCCUGAGCCAGGGAUUCAUUCAUUCAUUCAACAAAUAAACAUUUGCAUCCUGUUAGGUACAAGGCGGGGUUCCAGGUUGCAGGGGUACAAUGUGAACCAAACAGAUAAGAGGCCAUGUGAUCUUGGACAAACCUCUUGCCCUUCUUGGACUUUACCUUUAACAUCUUUAAAGUAAGCUGCCUAACCUACAUUACCUCACAAGUGUACUACCACGUUCUGACUAGUGGGUUCUGUAUUAGUUUUCUUGGGCUGCCAGAACAAAUUACUCCAAAUGUGGUGGUUUAAGAUAAUAGGAAUUUAUUCCCUCACGGUUCUGGAAGUUAGAAGUCUGAAAUCAAGCUGUCAGCAGGGCCAUACUCUUGAGGCUCUAGAGACAAUCCUUCUUCACCUGUUCUAGACUUCUGGUCUUGCCAGAAAUCCUUGGUGCUCCUGGACUUGUAGCUGUAUCACUCCAAUCUCUGACUCCAUAGUCACAUGGCAUUGUCCCUGAGGGUCUGUCCGUAUCUCUGUUUUCUUUUAUAAGGACAACAGUCAUUGGAGUAGAGCCACCCCUCGCCCCUCAAUCCAGUAUGACUUAUCUAUAACUUUGCCAUUAUACCUGCAAAGGCGUAUUUCCAAAUAAGGUCACAUUCUAAAAGUCCAGGUGGACAUGAAGUUUGCAGGGGGUGGUGGUGGCGGGGGGGAGACUAUUCAGCUAUUUCCUUUUGCUUCUACCAAGGAUAUAGACUGUUAUAGCAGUGCCCAUUAGCAGACACUGAGCUGGUCACGCAGCCUGCAGAGAUCGUGCAGAGAGGGGCCCUCCAUGAAGAAGAGGCAGGGAGUAGAGCUGAAUAUCAAGGCUGCUAGCAAAAGAAGGGAGCAUGUUUAAUAGAAUCAAGGAGACUGUGCCUUGUAGAUAGGUACAACAGGAUGAGCACAGCUACAUUGAACACCCAGGAUGUUCCAGGCAGUAAACACUUCUGUACAACAGCAACAUUGUGCUGGGGUGACAGAGUAAAGAAUAAGAUAUCCAGAAGUUUCUCUCAGUUAUAACUGGGAAAUCUUAUAAUAGUGCUGUCGUCAUGAUGACUUUUAAUUGACAGUUGGUUUCUUUGGGACAGUUUUGAGUCAUUUCAUUUCUUCUAGAUGAGCACCAAAACCCCAAGCAUUUAGAAGGGUGUCCCACAUGCAGGGAGCCUGACAGCUAGGCUUCAGAGCAGGGGCCAAAGGCUCUAGCUCUGAAGGUGACUCCAGGAUGGAACCUCUGCUCUCCCAUCACACUGGCUGUGUCUUUGGGAACAUUAGUUCAUUUCUCAGCACUCAAGCUCUGUUGUCUAUAAAUUGAGGAUAAUAAUAGAACUUUCUCUAGAAUUGUGGAGAGGAGGAAAUGUUGAAAGGAAAAUAAUUCAUGUACAACAUUAAACACAGUGCCAGGAGCAUAAAAAUGUGCUUAAUAAAUGUUUGUUGUUAUUAAAAUAUCUAUUAAUUUCUCCCUGUGCUGGAAGAUCUUUCCUAACAAAGGUAGAAAUAUGUUGUUAUUUCUCAUAUUAAAAAAGGGGGGGGGGGCGCCUGGGUGGUUCAGUGGUUGAGCAUCUGCCUUCAGCUCAGGGGUUGACCCCCAGGGUCCUAGGAUCAAGUCCCACAUCGGGUUCCCUGCAGGGAGCCUGCUUCUCCCUCUGCCUAUGUCUCUG